UACGAAGGGGGCUAGCGUUGUUCGGAUUUACUGGGCGUAAAGCGCACGUAGGCGGAUCGUUAAGUCGGGGGUGAAAUCCUGGAGCUCAACUCCAGAACUGCCUUCGAUACUGGAAGACUCGAGUCCGGGAGAGGUGAGUGGAACUGCGAGUGUAGAGGUGAAAUUCGUAGAUAUUCGCAAGAACACCAGUGGCGAAGGCGGCUCACUGGCCCGGUACUGACGCUGAGGUGCGAAAGCGUGGGGAGCAAACAGG
rnacentral:rRNA from 1 species